rnacentral:piRNA from 1 species
UGGUCUUGUAAGCUGUGAGUACUGAUAGU